rnacentral:rRNA from 1 species
GACGAACGCUGGCGGCGUGCCUAAUACAUGCAAGUCGAGCGGAUGGAUGGGAGCUUGCUCCCUGAAGUCAGCGGCGGACGGGUGAGUAACACGUGGGCAACCUGCCCCUAAGAUCGGGAUAACUUCGGGAAACCGGAGCUAAUACCGGAUAUGAUUCUCUCUCACAUGAGAGGAAGUGGAAAGACGAUUUCGGCUGUCACUUAGGGAUGGGCCCGCGGCGCAUUAGCUAGUUGGUAGGGUAACGGCCUACCAAGGCGACGAUGCGAAGCCGACCUGAGAGGGUGAUCGGCCACACUGGGACUGAGACACGGCCCAGACUCCUACGGGAGGCAGCAGUAGGGAAUCUUCCGCAAUGGACGAAAGUCUGACGGAGCAACGCCGCGUGAGUGAAGAAGGUUUUCGGAUCGUAAAACUCUGUUGUCAGGGAAGAACAAGUACCAUAGUAACUGAUGGUACCUUGACGGUACUUGGCCAGAAAGCCACGGCUAACUACGUGCCAGCAGCCGCCGUAACAC